rnacentral:rRNA from 1 species
CCUACGGGGGGCAGCAGUGAGGAAUAUUGGUCAAUGGGCGCAAGCCUGAACCAGCCAAGUCGCGUGAGGGAAGAAGGUCCUAUGGAUUGUAAACCUCUUUUGUCGGGGAGCAAAAGCAGGCACGCGUGCCGUUCCGAGAGUACCCCAAGAAAAAGCAUCGGCUAACUCCGUGCCAGCAGCCGCGGUAAUACGGAGGAUGCGAGCGUUAUCCGGAUUUAGUGGGUUUAAAGGGUGCGUAGGCGGACUAUAAAGUCAGCGGUAAAAUUGAGGGGCUCAACCUCGGCGAGCCGUUGAAACUGGUGCUCUUGAGUGAGGGAGAAGUAUGCGGAAUGCGUGGUGUAGCGGUGAAAUGCUUAGAUAUUACGCAGAACUCCGAUUGCGAAGGCAGCAUACCGGCGCUCAACUGACGCUGAGGCACGAAAGCGUGGGUAUCGAACAGGAUUAGAUACCCGAGUAGUC